AACGAACGCUGGCGGCAGGCCUAACACAUGCAAGUCGAACGCAUCGCAAGAUGAGUGGCGCACGGGUGAGUAACACGUGGGAAUGUAUCCUUUGGUUCGGAAUAACGUCUGGAAACGGACGCUAAUACCGGAUGCGCCCUUCGGGGGAAAGAUUUAUCGCCGAAGGAGCAGCCCGCGUCUGAUUAGGUAGUUGGUGGGGUAAAGGCCUACCAAGCCGACGAUCAGUAGCUGGUCUGAGAGGAUGAUCAGCCACACUGGGACUGAGACACGGCCCAGACUCCUACGGGAGGCAGCAGUGCGGAAUAUUGGAAAAUGGGCGCAAGCCUGAUCCAGCCAUGCCGCGUGAGUGAUGAAGGCCUUCGGGUUGUAAAGCUCUUUCGCACACGACGAUGAUGACGGUAGUGUGAGAAGAAGCCCCGGCUAACUUCGUGCCAGCAGCCGCGGUAAAAC
rnacentral:rRNA from 1 species